rnacentral:lncRNA from 1 species
UCUGUCUGGUGUUUCUCCUCCACCGCCUGAAGACAUUGUGCCAGGACUUGAUUCACGGCGGACUGCAUCUCCUCCCGCAAUCCGUCUAGGCCCUCUUCGACCCUUUGUUCGACCCCCUCGAACCUUUGGUCGACCUCUAUGAACUUGUCCUGCCCAUCGGCAAUGGCCAACUCCACUUUGGCCAGCCUUGUCUCCAACCCCUCAAUGGCGUCCCUGGAGCGAGACCUUUGGCCCUUAGAUUUGUCCCUUCCGGUUUGGGUGAUUUCACUGCUGCCUUCCAUACUCCCUUAGAUGUUCCAACGAACCUGACGCUCUGAUACCAAUUGUGACGAGACCGUAACUCAAACACGACGAUCUGUCCGGCCUAGCGAACUUUCAAUGCCAAAGNNNN